rnacentral:tRNA from 1 species
GACUUUGUGGCGCAACAGUAGUGCGUCUGACUCCAGCUCGCAAGGUUGCGUGUUCAAAUCAUGUUGUGGUCA